rnacentral:rRNA from 1 species
UGACCGACCUAUGAUAAUGUAGUUUCUCUUCGGAGCAUCGGUGACAGGUGGUGCAUGGUUGUCGUCAGCUCGUGUCGUGAGAUGUUGGGUUAAGUCCCGCAACGAGCGCAACCCCUUGUCUUUAGUUAGCCAGCAAGUAUCGUGCGUGGGACAUCUCGUAGGAGAGCAUCGUGCCAGGUAUAACCUGGGAGGAAGGUGGGGAUGACUGUCAAAUCAUCAUGCCCCUUAUGACUUUGGGCUACACACGUGCUACAAUGGCCGUAAACAAAGAGACGCAGACUCCUGUGAAGGGGAGCAAACUCUCAAAAAUAACGUCUCAGUUCGGAUUGUAGUCUGCAACUCGACUACAUAGAAGCUGGAAUCGUUAGUAAUCGCAGAUCA